rnacentral:rRNA from 1 species
AACUAACGCUGGCGGCGUGCCUAACACAUGCAAGUCGUACGAGAAAGUUGGCUUCGGCCGAUGAGUAAAGUGGCGCACGGGUGAGUAAUGCGUGGAUAAUCUGCCCUUUAGUUGGGAAUAACGUACCGAAAGGUGCGCUAAUACCUGAUAAUACUGCAUAACUACUGUUGUGUAGUCAAAGAAGGCCUCUGUUUACAAGCUUUUGCUGAAGGAUGAGUCCGCGUACCAUUAGCUGGUUGGUGGGGUAAUGGCCUACCAAGGCUACGAUGGUUAGCUGGUCUGAGAGGAUGAUCAGCCACACUGGAACUGAGACACGGUCCAGACUCCUACGGGAGGCAGCAGUGAGGAAUAUUGCGCAAUGGGGGCAACCCUGACGCAGCAACGCCACGUGAGUGAGGAAGGUUUUCGGAUUGUAAACCUCUGUUCUUGGAGAAGAGAAGAAGACGGUAUCCAAGGAGGAAGCCCCGGCUAACUACGUGCCAGCAGCCGCGGU